GACGAACGCUGGCGGCGUGCUUAACACAUGCAAGUCGAACGGAAAGGCCCUGCUUGCUUGGGGUGCUCGAGUGGCGAACGGGUGAGUAACACGUGUGUAACCUGCUCUACACUUUGGUAUGACUUCAGGAAACUGGGGCUAAUACCGGACAGGAGCUCCUGCUGCAGGGUGGGGGUUGGAAAGUUUCGGCGGUUGGGGAUGGACUCGCGGCUUAUCAGCUUGUUGGUGGGGUAGUGGCUUACCAAGGCGUUGACGGGUAGCCGGCCUGAGAGGGUGACCGGCCACAUUGGGACUGAGAUACGGCCCAGACUCCUACGGGAGGCAGCAGUGGGGAAUAUUGCACAAUGGGCGGAAGCCUGAUGCAGCGACGCCGCGUGCGGGAUGACGGCCUUCGGGUUGUAAACCGCUUUCGCCUGUGACGAAGCGGGAGUGACGGUAAUGGGUGAAGAAGCACCGGCUAACUACGUG
rnacentral:rRNA from 1 species